GGGUUGUGAGGUUAAGCGACUAAGCGUACACGGUGGAUGCCCUGGCAGUCAGAGGCGAUGAAGGGCGUGCUAAUCUGCGAUAAGCGCCGGUAAGGUGAUAUGAACCGUUAUAACCGGCGAUACCCGAAUGGGGAAACCCAGUGUGACUCGUCACACUAUCAUUAACUGAAUCCAUAGGUUAAUGAGGCGAACCGGGGGAACUGAAACAUCUAAGUACCCCGAGGAAAAGAAAUCAACCGAGAUUCCCCCAGUAGCGGCGAGCGAACGGGGAGGAGCCCAGAGCCUGAAUCAGCAUGUGUGUUAGUGGAAGCGUCUGGAAAGGCGCGCGAUACAGGGUGACAGCCCCGUACACAAAAGCGCAUGUGCUGUGAGCUCGAUGAGUAGGGCGGGACACGUGGUAUCCUGUCUGAAUAUGGGGGGACCAUCCUCCAAGGCUAAAUACUCCUGACUGACCGAUAGUGAACCAGUACCGUGAGGGAAAGGCGAAAAGAACCCCGGCGAGGGGAGUGAAAAAGAACCUGAAACCGUGUACGUACAAGCAGUGGGAGCACAGGUUUACCUGUGUGACUGCGUACCUUUUGUAUAAUGGGUCAGCGACUUAUAUUCUGUAGCAAGGUUAACCGUAUAGGGGAGCCGGAGGGAAACCGAGUCUUAACCGGGCGUUAAGUUGCAGGGUAUAGACCCGAAACCCGGUGAUCUAGCCAUGGGCAGGUUGAAGGUUGGGUAACACUAACUGGAGGACCGAACCGACUAAUGUUGAAAAAUUAGCGGAUGACCUGUGGCUGGGGGUGAAAGGCCAAUCAAACCGGGAGAUAGCUGGUUCUCCCCGAAAGCUAUUUAGGUAGCGCCUCGUGAAUUCAUCUCCGGGGGUAGAGCACUGUUUCGGCUAGGGGGCCAUCCCGGCUUACCAACCCGAUGCAAACUGCGAAUACCGGAGAAUGUUAUCACGGGAGACACACGGCGGGUGCUAACGUCCGUCGUGAAGAGGGAAACAACCCAGACCGCCAGCUAAGGUCCCAAAGUCAUGGUUAAGUGGGAAACGAUGUGGGAAGGCCCAGACAGCCAGGAUGUUGGCUUAGAAGCAGCCAUCAUUUAAAGAAAGCGUAAUAGCUCACUGGUCGAGUCGGCCUGCGCGGAAGAUGUAACGGGGCUAAACCAUGCACCGAAGCUGCGGCAGCGA
rnacentral:rRNA from 2 species